GCUGUGGUGGUGUAGCGGCAACACACCUGGUGAGUAACCAGGAGAUCGCGGAUUCGAGUCCCGCUCACGGUA
rnacentral:tRNA from 1 species